rnacentral:rRNA from 1 species
UACGGGAGGCAGCAGUGAGGAAUAUUGGUCAAUGGCCGGGAGGCUGAACCAGCCAUGCCGCGUGCGGGAGGACGGCCCUAUGGGUUGUAAACCGCUUUUUUGUGGGAGCAAUAAGUUGCACGUGUGCAAUGAUGAGAGUACCAUGAGAAUAAGCAUCGGCUAACUCCGUGCCAGCAGCCGCGGUAAU